rnacentral:rRNA from 1 species
GGUAGGGCCGGCCUAAGUUCCUUGGAACAGGACAUCAGAGAGGGUGAGAAUCCCGUAUGUGGCCGUGGCCUACGCCCGUGUAAAGCUCUUUCGACGAGUCGAGUUGUUUGGGAAUGCAGCUCAAAAUGGGUGGUAAAUUUCAUCUAAAGCUAAAUAUUGGCCAGAGACCGAUAGCGCACAAGUAGAGUGAUCGAAAGAUGAAAAGCACUUUGGAAAGAGAGUUAAACAGUACGUGAAAUUGUUGAAAGGGAAGCGCUUGCAACCAGACUUGGGCGUCGUCGAUCAUCCGGGGUUCUCCUCGGUGCACUCGACGAGGCACAGGCCAGCAUCGGUUUGGAUGGUUGGAGAAAGGCCCUAGGAACGUAGCUCUCUUCGGGGAGUGUUAUAGCCUAGAGCGCAAUGCAGCCCAUCCGGACCGAGGACCGCGCCUUUGGCUAGGAUGCUGGCGUAAUGGUUGCAAGCGACCCGUCUUGAAACACGGACCAAGGAGUCUAACAUCUAUGCGAGUGUUUGGGCGUUAAACCCAUACGCGGAAUGAAAGUGAACGUAGGUGAGAACCCGUCAGGGUGCAUCAUCGACCGAUCCUGAUGUCUUCGGAUGGAUUUGAGUACGAGCAUAGCUGUUGGGACCCGAAAGAUGGUGAACUAUGCCUGAAUAGGGUGAAGCCAGAGGAAACUCUGGUGGAGGCUCGCRGCGGUUCUGACGUGCAAAUCGAUCGUCAAAUUUGGGUAU